UACGUAGGGUGCGAGCGUUAAUCGGAAUUACUGGGCGUAAAGGGUGCGCAGGCGGAUAUAUAAGUUAGAUUUGAAAUUCCAGGGCUUAACCUUGGGACUGGAUUUAAGACUGUAUAUCUAGAGUUUGUAAGAGGGGGGUAGAAUUCCAAGUGUAGCAGUGAAAUGCGUAGAGAUUUGGAGGAAUACCGAUGGCGAAGGCAGCCCCCUGGUAUAGAACUGACGCUCAGGCACGAAAGCGUGGGUAGCAAACAGG
rnacentral:misc_RNA from 1 species